GAUGAACGCUAGCGGCAGGCCUAAUACAUGCAAGUCGGACGGGAUUUGGGAGCUUGCUCCUAAUGAGAGUGGCGCACGGGUGCGUAACACGUAUGUAACCUACCUUAAUCAGGGGGAUAGCCUCUCGAAAGAGAGAUUAACACCGCAUAAUAUAUUUUUAUGGCAUCGUAGAAAUAUCAAAUAUUUAUAGGAUUAAGAUGGGCAUGCGGAACAUUAGCUAGUUGGUAAGGUAACGGCUUACCAAGGCUACGAUGUUUAGGGGAUCUGAGAGGAUGACCCACCACAAGGGUACUGAGACACGGACCAGACUCCUACGGGAGGCAGCAGUAAGGAAUAUGGGUCAAUGGGCGCAAGCCUGAACCAGCCAUGCCGCGUGCAGGAAGACGGCCCUAUGGGUUGUAAACUGCUUUUGUACCGGAAUAAACCCUUUUACGUGUAGAAGGCUGAAUGUACGGUAAGAAUAAGGAUCGGCUAACUCCGUGCCAGCCGCCGCUGUAAAAC
rnacentral:rRNA from 1 species